rnacentral:rRNA from 1 species
CACGUAGGAGACGAGCGUUAUCCGGAUUUACGGGGCGUAAAGCGCGGGUAGGUGGGGUCUUAAGUCAUGCGUGAAAGCUCUCGGCUUAACCGGGAGAGGUCGUGUGAAACUGGGGCUCUCAGAGGUAGGUAGAGGCAGAUGGAAUUCCGGGUGGAGUGGUGAAAUGCGUAGAGAUCCGGAGGAACACCAGUGGCGAAGGCGAUCUGCUAGGCCUGACCUGACACUCAGACGCGACAGCAUGGGGAGCGAACGGG